GAUGAAGAACGCAGCGAAAUGCGAUAAGUAGUGUGAAUUGCAGAAUUCAGUGAAUCAUCGAAUCUUUGAACGCACAUUGCGCCCCUUGGUAUUCCAUGGGGCAUGCCUGUUCGAGCGUCAUUUGUAUCUUCAAGCUUUGCUUGGUGUUGGGUGUUUGUCCUGCUCUGUGCGUGGACUCGCCUUAAAUCAAUUGGCAGCCGGUAAUCUGGUGCUAAGAGUGCAGCACAUUGUGCGCUCCUCGCUGUGUAUUGCGGCGUCCAUUAAGCCUACAUUUUUUGCUCUUGACCUCGGAUCAGGUAGGGAUACCCGCUGAACUUAAGCAUAUCAAUAAGCGGAGGA
rnacentral:misc_RNA from 1 species